CACUCCUGCGGGAGGCAGCAGUGGGGAAUUUUGGACAAUGGGCGAAAGCCUGAUCCAGCAAUGCCGCGUGAGUGAAGAAGGCCUUCGGGUUGUAAAGCUCUUUUGUCAGGGAAGAAACGGUGAAAGCUAAUAUCUUUUGCUAAUGACGGUACCUGAAGAAUAAGCACCGGCUAACUACGUGCCAGCAGCCGCGGUAAUACGUAGGGUGCAAGCGUUAAUCGGAAUUACUGGGCGUAAAGCGUGCGCAGGCGGUUUUGUAAGUCUGAUGUGAAAUCCCCGGGCUCAACCUGGGAAUUGCAUUGGAGACUGCAAGGCUAGAAUCUGGCAGAGGGGGGUAGAAUUCCACGUGUAGCAGUGAAAUGCGUAGAUAUGUGGAGGAACACCGAUGGCGAAGGCAGCCCCCUGGGUCAAGAUUGACGCUCAUGCACGAAAGCGUGGGGAGCAAACAGGAUUAGAAACCCCGGUAGUCCCAUG
rnacentral:rRNA from 1 species